rnacentral:tRNA from 1 species
GGGCGUGUAGUCCAGUGGUAGAACGCUACCUUGGCAUGGUAGAGGCCGAGGGUUCAAUUCCCUCCACGUCCA